rnacentral:lncRNA from 1 species
CUCUGCUCCUUCUCCAGCAGCACAAUAUGAUCCACCGGCAAGGAGGGACACCAAUAAGGCGUCCGAUAAGAUAAGUCUUAUAAAAUAUAUAGGUUUAUGAUAGUUAAGACUGAACUAACAGAUGAGAAUCCUACUCAUUGGCCAAGCAGCAUUGUACCUAAUACAAGUUUCUGUGUAUUCAUUUGGGCCUAACUCGGGCGGGUGGCUGGCGUAAAGCUCAAACAUGGUGGUGGGGCUCGGCGGCUUUUGGCAGAAAGAUUUAUCGUAACAUAGGAACUAUAAAGAAGAUAGCUAAAUGUGGACCGAAGAGUGCAAGCCAGUAAUUCCACUGUCUCUGCUUCAGUCUGUGCCUUAGUUCCUAUUUUGGCUUCCUUCAGUGUUGAACUGUAAUCUGGAAGUGAAAGACAAGUAAACCCCUUGCUUCCCAAGUUGUUUCAGGGUAGUGUUUUAUCAUAGUAACAUGAACCAAACUAGAACAGAUACUUUUGUUUUGUCUCGGGUAUUUGUUUCUUGUCCCCAGGCUGUACCAGGGAUUUGCCCAAAUUUACUAAGACAAUAGCUCUCCGAUCUUUAAUUUUCCCUGUUGAAUCAUGUAUAACCUCAUGCUCACUGUACUGCUAUUGCAGAAAAAUCUAGUUCCUGUAUAUGAGCACCAGCCACCAAACGCAGGUGUCAAUAGAGCAGACAAAUUUAAAAUUGUAUAAAGUGCAAUGUGUUGGUGUCCUAUGGACCAAAGUGCCACUUGGGAGAGUUCCUGCACCCCACAGCAGGAGCAAGAUGUUUAUCAGGCAGUCAACCAGAAUGUACCUAUUAACCUGUCAGACAUCAGUCAAGAAAUAGUUGGGGCAUGAUGCAGAAAUGCUCAGGUGACAAGCUUAAUGAUUUUGUUUAUCUUGUAGGACUUGGAAUGUGUGCCUGUAUAACUAGUAAAAACAACACUUCCACUCAAGAUGGUGGUAGUCAAGUCUGGCCAGAGCCCUAGAAUUGCACAGCACUUUAGGGCAGGGUGUGUGUGUGUGUAUACACACUGGGGGUUAAAUCCCAGACAGCAUAGACCCUCAUGCUGCAGAAGGCAUGUCGGAAGGCCCACCAGCUGAGUUCUCCACCACGAAGAGCCUGGAGGCCAUGGGUUUAAGGUGACUUUUUCUUACGCAUUUUCUGAUCAUCUAUCCAUCAAUCUCUCUACAUACAAAUAACAUAAACCUCCUGUAUACCCAUAUUAAGUGACUUAUACCAUCUCCACAAAGCUGUUAACUAUGAACAUUUGUGAAGUGGUAUAAAAAUGCACAAAGGCUUUUGUUACAUUAUUUAAUUAUGUUUCAAAAUAUUUUAUUGCUACUUAAUUGAAUUUUUAAAAACAUGUAUGAGGUAUUAAUAUUUAUAUCUAAAACCUGAAACUUUUCUACAGGGCUUGUGAUCAGUCAUUCCCAAAGAAACCAAUUAAGUUUUUUUUACUUGAUUUCCUUAGUUCUUUUUAUUAAUUCAUUUUAAUUUUUUAUUUAUGUGUGGAGGUGUUAUACAUGCUACAACAUACAUGUCAAAGGACAACUUGCAGCACCCAGUUCUCUCUUUCCACCUGUGGGUUCCAAGAAUCGAAUUAAGGUAGUUGGGCUUGUCAGCAGGCACCUGUUCCCACUGAGCCAUCUCAUUGGCCUGAUUGUCUUAGUUCUUUAUAUUUUCAGUAAUUAUGUGUAGGAGUGGGGGUGGUUGUUGAACAUGAGUUCAAGUGCCCUUGAAAUCCAAAGACAUUGGAUGCCCUGGAGCUGUAGUUACAGAAGGUUGUGAGCCACCUGAUAUGAGUAUUGGGAACCGAACUCAGGUCCUUUGGAAGGGUAACAAGUGAUCUCAACAGCUGAGUCACCUCUCCAGCCCUUCCUUAGUUAACUUGCCUGUGGUUUUUUUGUUGUUGUUGUUUUGUUUUUUGUUUUUCAAGACAAGGUUUCUUUUGUAGCCUUGGAUGUCCUGUAAACCAGGCUGACCUCGAACUCACAGAGAUCCACCUGGGAUCUAGCUUUUGUUUUUUAUUCCAUGUUCAGCCUCAAGUGUUUUCCGUUUGACUCCCACCAUUAAAAAAGCACAUUUGCUUCCUAGCACACCUGCCAACCCAUGCAUAUACCUUUCCACCCUCUUUUCUCUUUGCUCAAUAGCUACACAGAAUGCAGAUUGCAGCAUAAUGCUCACACUACAAAGGCUCUAAUUAUUGUUCAUGUAGUUCCGUUUCCAUCCUUACCUUGUGCAAUGCUGUACUUAUUCUAGGGGCUGUUCUCUCUUUGUGUGGUUUCUGACUUCCUUUCACCAAUUCAUCACUGAACAUUGAACCAGUAGAAUAAAUCAAUUCCCCAUCCUCACCCCGUGUGUGUGUGUGUGUGUGUGUGUGUGUGUGUGUGUGUGUGUGUGUGUCUAUCUGUCUGUCUGUCUGUCUGUCUGUGUGAAUGUGUCUGUGAAUGUGUCUGUUUGUGUGAUUGUGUCUAUGAGUAGGUAUGUGUAUGGGUGUGUGUCUGUGAGUGGGUGUAUGUGUGUCUAUGUGAGUGUAUCUGUGAAUGUGUGUGUGUGUGUGUCUGUAAGUGUGUGUGUGUGUGUGUGUGUGUUGUUGUUGUUGUUGUUGUUGUUGUACUUGUUUGUGUGCUCAUAUGGAGGCCAGAGGAAGAUGUUUUUCUGUUAUUCUCCACCUUAUUUUUUAAGCAAACUCACUCCCUGAACCUGAAGCUGCCCUUUUUUGGUUAGACUGGCUGGCCAGCAAUCUCCAAGGAUCCCCUUAUCUUUGCCUCCCAAUGCCAGAGUUGUAGGCAAGAGCAUCCAUGCUUUGAUUUUAUGUGGGUACUAGAGAUUUGAAUUCAGAUUGUCUUACUUUCUGAGCAAGCAUUCUUACUGCACUGGGCCAUUUACCAGCCCUUAUAUCCCUUUUCACAGUACAUGCUUACAAUACCAGCCUAUGUUAACUAACCUACAUUCCUGGAACAGCCAUCUUUGCCCUUAAGCUUGCUGGGAACUCUCUUCAUGUAUUUUUAUUCAUGUGCCACAGCUCAUUUAGACCAUUUCUUACUUGUAGAUACUUGGUUUCUUUUCAGUCCUUUGCUACUAAAAGAACACUACAAUGAGCAACCCAACCAUGAGUGCCUCUGUGAACACCAGUGGUGUUUUGAAGAACUGGUCCUACAGGCGUCAUUGCUGGAUGCACACUAGUCAUCAGAUGUCAAGUAAAUUGAAAACACAGUAAACCAGAAACAAAACCCACAAAGACAAAACAGCGAACCCUGUCCUAACAGUUCUGUCUCAAUGUUUUGAGUAAUUUUACUUAAUUCCAUUAAAGAGAACUACAUCCAGGGCUGGAGAGAUGGCUCAGAGGUUAAGAGCACUGGCUGCUCUUCCAGAGAUCCUGAGUUAAAUUCCCUGCAACCAUAUGGUGGCUCACAACCAUCUAUAAUGAGAUCUAGUGCCCUCUUCUGAUCUGCAGGAAUACAUUCAGAGAAUGCUGUAUAAAUAAAUAAAUCUUUUUUAAUAAGAGAGAGAGAGAGAGAGAGAACUGCAUCCCUUGAACAUUAAAAAAAA